rnacentral:rRNA from 1 species
UACAGAGGGUGCAAACGUUGCUCGGAAUUAUUGGGCGUAAAGCGCGUGUAGGCGGCUUGUUAAGUUGGUUGUGAAAACCCAUGGCUCAACCAUGGAAGGGCGUUCAAAACUGGCAAGCUAGAGUCCCGACGAGGAUGGCGGAAUUCCCAGUGUAGAGGUGAAAUUCGUAGAUAUUGGGAGGAACACCAGUGGCGAAGGCGACUUCCUGGCCUGUUCUUGACGCUGAGGCGCGAAAGCUAGGGGAGCAAACGGG